rnacentral:tRNA from 1 species
CCCUGGAUAGCUCAGUGGGCAAAGCACUUGACUCGCAAUCUUGGGGUGGCGAGUUCAAAUCCCUCCAGGAA